ensembl:lncRNA
AUUAACAUUCGACAGCUGUGCGUAUUCACACUGCUGAACUCAUAUUACACAAUAUUAUCAGACAUUCGCCUACGCAGAACAGCAGUAUUGGCCCACCGGGUGAUUCACAAGGUUCCAACACAAGCCGCCAGAGAAAGGGAGCUAUCAAGAUUUUGGUGAUGAGAGAAACUGUAGCACAUGGUAGCAAAGGAAGACAGACCGGGUAUCUUUUCAGGCUGGAUCAAGGAAAAACUUUGGCAGAAUGAGACAUGAUUUUCCUUUAUUUGAUAUGUUGCAGGUCUAUAGAUCUCCAUGCAGUUUGUUCAGUGGCUUGAACAAUGCAGUGAGUAUUCCAACCCUGAAGAACUGGGAAAGGAGAGAGAUGAAGAAAUCCAGGAGGGAGCCAGGUGAGUUCACUCUGAAUAAUAGAUUCUCUUUGGUAACAAAACCACGGCAAGGGCUAGGGCUCACCGAGGUCUGGAGAUAAUAAGCACCACCAACCUAGAUUUCCUCCUAUGCCACCUUGACCUUGUCUCUUCUAGGAUCAAGAUCCUUCAAAGCUUCCCCAUUGUCUGAGCCAGUGGCCUCUAACAUUAAGUGUGUGUGCUCAUCUGUUGGGCUACAGAAAAUAAUUAGAAAAAAAAUUUUAAAUAAAGAUAAUUAGGAUUAUCUUUAAUAAUUAUCUGGCCUCUGCUUUAAUUCUCUUCUUGGAAAGGUUGUAUAAUGUACACCAUUUAUUAGUAUAUCCAUGAUGAGUAUUUAUUUCAACAAGGGGUGCUCAAAAAAUGUCAUAUUAUUGGAUUGUAUGAUCAAAACUGUUUGGAAAUAACUGGUCUAAGUAAGAAGAUACUAGCCUGAUGUUUAGGAGCCUCUGCAGUUUACCUAUCUGAGCUUCUGUUCCACUAUUUCACUUCUCUGACCACUCACUACAAUAAAACAGAUUCAGCCAUCCAGUGAGUCCUGGGUGUGUGUGUGUGUGUGCGUGUGUGUAUUUACAAUUUCUUGCUUUUUUAUCUUGGCUAGAAAUCAGCAGCUGACACAAUGCUUACCUGGAUACAUUGAGCCUCCAUCCACUGUCCUACCAGCAAUUCCAGUCUUUUCCAGGAUACUCCUUCCCAAAUAGGCUCUCGAAGGGUAACCACUAUGUUCGUAAUUAAUGAAAUACAACCUCCUGGGGAGAGGUAGUGACUCAGUUCUCUCUUCUUGAACGAUGGAGAAGGAAAUGGCAACCCACUCCGGUAUUCUUGCCUGGAGAGGCCUACGGAUAGAGGAGCCUGGUGGGCUGCUGUCCAUAGGGUCACACAGAGUCGGGCAUGACUGAGCAACUUCACUUUCACUUUUCACUCUCAUGCAUUGGAGAGGAAAUGGCAACCCACUCCAGUGUUCUUGCCUGGAGAAUCCCAGCCUGGUGAGCUGCUGUCUAUGGGAUCGCACAGAGUCGGACACAACUGAAGCGACUUAGGAGCAGCAGCAGCUUCUUGAAAGAUGCCCUUCAGUGCUUCAUUCCUGCUUCAACUAAGUUCUGCUGGUACUUCAGUUUCCACUUGCAAGGGCCUUUGGAAGCCUUUCCCGACCUCAAGAUUAAAGUCCUCCUCUCCCUGUACCCUAGCAGGGUAGUAGCUUGCUGUACAGCAACUGCUUGUUAACUUCUCGAUCUCCUCCAUCGCCUGAAAGCUCUUAGAGGACAGGAUUCAUGUACAGUGCAUUGUAUUCCCAGGAGUUAGGAGGGUCUAAUCCUUAUUAGCUACGUACAAAACAUCUGUUGAACAAACGGUUGCAAAUGAAUAGUAACUUAAAGAAAGGCUACAUUUCUGAGGUAAUGCUAAUUGCUUGUAGGAUAGUUAAAUGUCAGUAUUGAAACCUAAUCUUUAGCUGCUGUCUUGCAGAUAAAACGGAUGUUCACCAAGUAUGUAUUUUGUAUUUUGUUGCACUGUACACCCCAACUAGUAAGCCGAGGAAUCGACAUGUGUUAGAUAAUUGUACUGUUUCUAAAAACCACAAACUGAGAAUGAUAAAUAAUCAAUUCAGUUUAGUAUUUACUAAUUAAAAAAAAAAAGUAUUUACUAAUUUUACCACACUCUUUUGUUAUGUAAUGUAGGGGAGUCAUAGGGAUUAUGCAUUCUAUUUGAGUAAACUUUAAAACCAAAUAUUUUAUGGUAAAGAGCUUUUAAGGUAGCCAAAGCACUGAUAUGAUAUAUCUGCUGUAAAGAGAACUGCAAGAGUUUUAUUUAUAUUUCUGAUGUUAAAAGUUACUUAAUAAAGACUUGUUUCC